rnacentral:rRNA from 1 species
UGGGGAAUUUUGGACAAUGGGCGAAAGCCUGAUCCAGCAAUGCCGCGUGUGUGAAGAAGGCCUUCGGGUUGUAAAGCACUUUUGUCCGGAAAGAAAUCCUCUGGGUUAAUACCUCGGGGGGAUGACGGUACCGGAAGAAUAAGCACCGGCUAACUACGUGCCAGCAGCCGCGGUAAUACGUAGGGUGCAAGCGUUAAUCGGAAUUACUGGGCGUAAAGCGUGCGCAGGCGGUUUUGUAAGACGGAUGUGAAAUCCCCGGGCUUAACCUGGGAACUGCAUUCGUGACUGCAAGGCUAGAGUAUGGCAGAGGGGGGUAGAAUUCCACGUGUAGCAGUGAAAUGCGUAGAGAUGUGGAGGAAUACCGAUGGCGAAGGCAGCCCCCUGGGCCAAUACUGACGCUCAUGCACGAAAGCGUGGGGAGCAAACAGGAUUAGAUACCCUGGUAGUCCACGCCCUAAAACGAUGUCAACUAGUUGUUGGGGAUUCAUUUCCUUAGUAACGUAGCUAACGCGUGAAGUUGACCGCCUGGGGGAGUACGGUCGCAAGAUUAAAACUUAAAUGAAUUGACGGGGUCUUAGCUGUUUCCU